rnacentral:rRNA from 1 species
UCGCCUGUUUAUCAAAAACAUAGCCAUAUGAGAUACAUAUAUGGUAGUUUCUGCCCAAUGAUUAUUUAAAUGGCCGCAGUACCCUGACUGUGCAAAGGUAGCAUAAUCAAUUGGCUCAUAAUUGGAGUCUGGAAUGAAAGAAAGAAUAGGAAGGAACUGUUUCACAAUAAACAUUAAAAAUUAAUUAUUAAGUGCAAAUGCUUAAAUAUAUAUAUUAGACGAGAAGACCCUAGAAAUUUUAUGCUGUAUUAUGAGCAUUUUGUUGGGGCGACAGAGUAACAAGUGUUAACUUACUUAUAAUAUUUGUAGUGUUUUUUCAGAUAAAGUAAAUUACUCUAGGGAUAACAGCAUAAUUUUUAAUAGUUCGUGACCUCGAUGAUGGACUAGGAACAGUAUUAAAC